CGCAUGAAACUCCAUCACUGUUAGUUUAAGUUCAAACCAAUAUAACUUUCAACUGGAUUAAGCAGGCACGGCCAACUAUACUUGAGACAACUAAGUCCCUCAAAAGAGACAUCAGUCAACCUGAAUUUACAGGUGAAAAAUCAUAAGAGGGAGAACAAUAUAAAGCUUCAUGGUGCUCUAACUCCUCAUCGUUACCUCAUAAAGGUGCUUCUCAUAUUGAUUGAAGAAAUUAGAAGCAAUAA